rnacentral:rRNA from 1 species
UGCAAGUCGAGGGGUAAGGUAGCAAUAUCUGAGACCGGCGCACGGGUGCGUCACUCGUAUGCAAUCUACCUUUUGCAGAGGGAUAGCCCAGAGAAAUUUGGAUUAAUACCUCAUAGUAUAGUACCUUCGCAUGGAGGAACUAUUAAAGUCACAACGGCAAAAGAUGAGCAUGCGUCCCAUUAGUUAGUUGGUAAGGUAACGGCUUACCAAGACAGCGAUGGGUAGGGGUCCUGAGAGGGAGAUCCCCCACACUGGUACUGAGACACGGACCAGACUCCUACGGGAGGCAGCAGUGAGGAAUAUUGGACAAUGGGCGCAAGCCUGAUCCAGCCAUGCCGCGUGCAGGAUGACGGUCCUAUGGAUUGUAAACUGCUUUUGCACAGGAAGAAACACCCCGACGUGUCGGGGCUUGACGGUACUGUGAGAAUAAGGAUCGGCUAACUCCGUGCCAGCAGCCGCGGUAAUACGGAGGAUCCAAGCGUUAUCCGGAAUCAUUGGGUUUAAAGGGUCCGUAGGCGGUUUAGUAAGUCAGUGGUGAAAGCCCAUCGCUCAACGGUGGAACGGCCAUUGAUACUGCUAGACUUGAAUUAUAAGGAAGUAACUAGAAUAUGUAGUGUAGCGGUGAAAUGCUUAGAGAUUACAUGGAAUACCAAUUGCGAAGGCAGGUUACUACUUAUGGAUUGACGCUGAUGGACGAAAGCGUGGGUAGCGAACAGGAUUAGAUACCCUGGUAGUCCACGCCGUAAACGAUGGAUACUAGCUGUUGGGCGCAAGUUCAGUGGCUAAGCGAAAGUGAUAAGUAUCCCACCUGGGGAGUACGUUCGCAAGAAUGAAACUCAAAGGAAUUGACGGGGGCCCGCACAAGCGGUGGAGCAUGUGGUUUAAUUCGAUGAUACGCGAGGAACCUUA